rnacentral:tRNA from 1 species
UCCCUGGUGGUCUAGUGGUUAGGAUUUGGUCCUCUCACCGCCGAGGCCCGGGUUUGAUUCCCGGUCAGGGAA